UACGAAGGGGGCUAGCGUUGUUCGGAAUUACUGGGCGUAAAGCGCGCGUAGGCGGUUUUGCAAGCCAGAGGUGAAAUGCCUGAGCUCAACUUAGGAAUUGCCUUUGGGACUGCGAGGCUUUGAGGACUGGAGAGGUGAGUGGAAUUCCCAGUGUAGAGGUGAAAUUCGUAGAUAUUGGGAAGAACACCGGUGGCGAAGGCGGCUCACUGGCCAGUUUCUGACGCUGUAGCGCGAAAGCGUGGGGAUCAAACAGG
rnacentral:rRNA from 1 species